GAAAUAGCAAAUGUAUAUUUUUAGCCCCUAUAUUAAUGAAGUGGCUGAGGUAUCACUCCUGUUUGUUUUUGAAGGUAAAUCCUACUUCAGCUACAAAAAAGACACUAAAUAAGACUCAGAGCAUGAUCAGUUAACAGAUCAUGGCUCCAGCUGUCCUUGAAGUACAUGUGAAUUCAGACAUUGAUGUUAAUAGAAGCUCUGCUGGACCCUGAGUAACUGAAAUAAUGCAGAAAGCUACAGUCCUCACUGUGAAUAUCGCCUAAAAGACUGUUCUGCACCUCGGCACCUGGCAUCACUUGGUGACCUCCCUGAGGCUAAACACAAAGGAAAUUGUUGGAUUUCAAAAGCAAAGAUCUAUCCUCUGCUUGCAGAAUGCACCUUUCUAAAGGAAGAGUCACCAAAUGAGAAAGGGAUGGUUUAUGCACAAGUAACCCUCCAUCAAUUUUGAGCAAGUUAUAAGAACAGCAGCUUCCAUAAGCUUUGGUCCUGAGUGAGGCAAUAGCCUGUGGUGAAUAUCUGUGAUCCUGUAGCUGAAGGACAUGUCAUAAACAUAAUGACAAAGGAAUUACAAUUGUCCAAGGAAAUAAAUACAUGCACAGAAGGAUGCUGGAUUUUAUAAUGCACUGGAAAUUAAACACCUUUUCCUCUAGGAAAAUGAGGGUAGGAAGGUGUUUUCUUAUCCUGAAGGUUUU